UUUUUCUGAGGCACAUGGGUACAAUCAGCACAAACUCCAUUUGCCAAGAAAAGGUUAUAAUGCAUUCACACCAAUAAAUGUUCGUUUCACAAGACAUAAGCAAAGAAUUUUCAAGAUUUAUUUUUUUUAUCAGAACAAUAAGUAUAAGUGUCAUAGCGUACUGAUUACUGAACGAAACCUGCUGCAUUUGCCAAGAACCUAUAACUUUGAAAGAUCUAAGGAAGGAUAUACCCAUGUUCCUUUCUGCUAAAAAUUUGUUUCAUCUGCAUCGUUGAAACUUCAUAAGUCAAUUCAUCAUCUACAACCUUUCGUCAGACCCUUGCCCAUAUUCCUGACACAUAAAGUUUACAAAACAAUCACAAUGAAACUACAGUGCAUAGGUUUCACUAAAAGACCGUUUGGCAUGCAUGUUUUUUCUUUACUUUUCUCCUUUACUCUUCAGACCAGUUGUGAAUAAGUAGGCUGAUCAAGUUCAAUUAAUGUUGACUGUUUUGUCUUUAUCUUACUGGUCGUAUAACAUCAACAGAGACGGUUAUGCUGCAGAAGCAAUGCUUGGGAGACUUCAUUGAUCGCAUAAACUCUGAUAAAGCUGUUAUUGUAUCUGUGUCUCUCCAGUCAAGAGCAUCACUAGCUGCAUUCUUCGGUCUUUCCCAGUUACAUGGGCUUGCCUACUUGUUCCCCUGACCAUAUAAUUCCAAGACCCUGAUGAUGGCCACAACUGCUUAUAUUGAUGAUUCCUACUCGGAGAUUAUUGAUCCUCUAAAGACUGAGGCGUUGUAUGUUGUUGAACUCCCUGGUGACCAUACUCAGCACCCACCAAAACCGAAUGUGGUGGUGUCUAGCAGUGUGUGCGAACUUCUAGAAUACCCAGUCUGCUUGAAUGUCAUGUAUCCUAUUCAUCAGCUGCACAUUCAUACUGAUCCAUUUGGCAUGUUUAUAUCUAAAACCCUGUUCAAAUGUAGUCGAUUGGAUGAAAAUUAUGGCUUUACUGGUUUCAGCGUUCCUUUCAAUA